rnacentral:rRNA from 1 species
UGGGGAAUAUUGCACAAUGGGCGAAAGCCUGAUGCAGCAACGCCGCGUGCGGGAUGACGGCCUUCGGGUUGUAAACCGCUUUCAGCAGGGACGAAGGUUUUCUGACGGUACCUGCAGAAGAAGCACCGGCUAACUACGUGCCAGCAGCCGCGGUGAUACGUAGGGUGCGAGCGUUGUCCGGAAUUAUUGGGCGUAAAGAGCUUGUAGGCGGUCCGUUGCGUCGGAAGUGAAAACUCAGGGCUUAACCCUGAGCCUGCUUUCGAUACGGGCGGACUUGAGGGAUGUAGGGGAGAACGGAAUUCCUGGUGGAGCGGUGGAAUGCGCAGAUAUCAGGAGGAACACCAGUGGCGAAGGCGGUUCUCUGGACAUUUCCUGACGCUGAGAAGCGAAAGCGUGGGGAGCAAAUCAGGCUUAGAUACCCUGGUAGUCCACGCCGUAAACGGUGGGCACUAGGUGUGGGACCCAUUCCACGGGUUCCGUGCCGUAGCUAACGCAUUAAGUGG